AUACGGAGGGGGCUAGCGUUGUUCGGAAUUACUGGGCGUAAAGCGUACGCAGGCUGACCAUUAAGUUAGAGGUGAAAUCCCGGGGCUCAACCCCGUAACUGCCUUUAAAACUGCUGGUCUGGAGUUAUGGAGAGGUAAGUGGAAUUCCUAGUGUAGAGGUGAAAUUCGUAGAUAUUAGGAGGAACACCAGAGGCGAAGGCGGCUUACUGGACAUAUACUGACGCUGAGGUACGAAAGUGUGGGGAGCGAACGGGAUUAGAAACCCUAGUAGUCC
rnacentral:rRNA from 1 species